CCACCCACACCUAAAGCGCUCCUUUCUUUCCUAUAAAUAAUAUUCUACUCUCAGUGAUUGAGAAGAGAGGAAAAAGGAUUAAGUUUGAGGUCAUAUAGAAAAAAUAACUUACAAACGGUUUCCAAUUUGGAUUUACGGCUAUAGUCAUUUCUACACUUGAAACUUUUAUCUGGGUUUCUAAUUCUAAGUUCAGAGAAGAUCGACUCUCAGUCUUUUUAGCUUAAUAAUCAUAUUCAAAAUUCGUGGUGAGAAUCGCAAAUCAAAGCUCAUCGUUCCCAGUUCUCUGCCCCACGGAAGGGUUCGCCAUGAACUCCCAUCUUCUCUCCUUGCAUUUCUCGUUGCGCCAAAGGCCCGACUUUACCUUUUAUCGAGUCAUCCAAAGCAAUAGGAUGAAGAUACAAGGCUGAAAAUUGAAAACGUUGUUCUAGAAAGCGGUAAAUAGUUUGUAUACACUAAAUAAACACUGCUAUGCAGAUUCAGUGCUACAAAUACUACGCAAAAAUGAAGAUACAGAUAGGAGGCGUCAAGAUGGACUGUAUAUAAUCGACAUAUGGGUCGAUAUGCAGGAAAUGGUACUGAUUUGCAAGUUUUAUACACUGAUUUACGGUUUGUGUAUACAAAAAGGGGAUUUUUGGGUUAAAUCCCAUAAGUAGCAGCGAAUUCGGCUUAAGAAAGGCCCAAAUUCAACUUCUCUUCCUUACUCUCAAAUUAUUUGAUUGUGAUUAUUCAUGUUUGUUGUUUAUUAACUCGAACCUUUAUUUUGUUUUGGGUUAAC